rnacentral:tRNA from 1 species
GGUGGAGUGGUGUAGUGGCCAGCACACCCGACCGGACAUUGAAAGGCCCAGAGUUCAAAUCCUGGCUCCACCA